rnacentral:rRNA from 1 species
AUACGGAGGGUGCAAGCGUUGUUCGGAAUCACUGGGCGUAAAGGGCGCGCAGGCGGUUUGGUAAGUCGGAUGAGAAAGCCCACGGCUCAACCGUGGAAGUGCAUUUGAAACUGUCAGACUUGAGUACUAGAGGGGAAAGUGGAAUUCCCGGUGUAGAGGUGAAAUUCGUAGAUAUCGGGAGGAAUACCGGUGGCGAAGGCGACUUUCUGGCUAGAUACUGACGCUGAGGUGCGAAAGCGUGGGGAGCAAACAGGAUUAGAAACCCGAGUAGUCC